rnacentral:rRNA from 1 species
AACGAACGCUGGCGGCAGGCCUAACACAUGCAAGUCGAACGUGAAGCCACCUUCGGGUGGUGGAAAGUGGCAGACGGGUGAGUAACGCGUGGGAACGUGCCUUUCGGUUCGGGAUAACCUAGGGAAACUUGGGCUAAUACCGGAUACGCCCUCCGGGGGAAAGAUUCAUUGCCGAAAGAUCGGCCCGCGUCGGAUUAGCUAGUUGGUGGGGUAAAGGCCUACCAAGGCGACGAUCCGUAGCUGGUCUGAGAGGAUGACCAGCCACACUGGGACUGAGACACGGCCCAGACUCCUACGGGAGGCAGCAGUGGGGAAUAUUGGACAAUGGGCGCAAGCCUGAUCCAGCCAUGCCGCGUGGGUGAAGAAGGCCUUAGGGUUGUAAACCCCUUUCAGCGAGGAAGAUAAUGACGGUACCCGCAGAAGAAGCCCCGGCUAACUCCGUGCCAGCAGCCGCAGUAAUAC